rnacentral:sRNA from 1 species
CUGAAAGGAGAACUUGGUACAAGUUCUUUAUUCACUGAAGACUAUGUAGAACAGACUUCCCCACUCUGCUCAACCAAUACGCCUUGGUAGAACUGGAGAGACAGCUUCUAAGGAUGAGAGGAUAAUUCAGUCUCCAUGCUCAUUUAAUCAUUAGCCUCU